CCUGGCGGCAACAGCGCGGUGGUCCCACCUGACCCCAUGCCGAACUCAGAAGNUCAGAAGUGAAACGCCGUAGCGCCGAUGGUAGUGUGGGGCCUCCCCAUGCGAGAGUAGGGAACUGCCAGGC
rnacentral:rRNA from 1 species